rnacentral:rRNA from 1 species
ACNAGGNUGGGUGCAAUGGUUGUUUGUCAACUCCGUGUUCGUUAAAUUGUUGGGGUUUAAAGCCGCAACCGAGGCGCAACCCCUUAUUUUUAGUUGCCAGCAUUCCAGUUGGGCACUUUUAAGGUGACUGCCGGGUGCAAACCGGAGAAAGGUGGGAUGACGUCAAAUCAUCAGGCCCCCUUAUGACUGGCUGACACACGUGCUACAAUGGACAAGAACAAAGCUGCAAGACCGCAAGGUUUAGCCAAUCCCAUAAAUAUGUUAUCAGUUCGGAUCGCAGUCUGCAACUCCGACUGCGUGAAGCUGGAAUCGCUAGUAAUCGCGGAUCAGCAUGCCGCGGUGAAUACGUUCCCGGGCCUUGUACACACCGCCCGUCACACCACGAGAGUUUGCAACACCCGAAGUCGGUGAGGUAACCUUUAUGGAGCCAGCCGCCGAAGGUGGGCAGAUAUUGGGGUGC